UGCAAGUCGAGCGGUAGCACAGAGAGCUUGCUCUCGGGUGACGAGCGGCGGACGGGUGAGUAAUGUCUGGGAAACUGCCUGAUGGAGGGGGAUAACUACUGGAAACGGUAGCUAAUACCGCAUAACGUCGCAAGACCAAAGUGGGGGACCUUCGGGCCUCAUGCCAUCAGAUGUGCCCAGAUGGGAUUAGCUGGUAGGUGGGGUAACGGCUCACCUAGGCGACGAUCCCUAGCUGGUCUGAGAGGAUGACCAGCCACACUGGAACUGAGACACGGUCCAGACUCCUACGGGAGGCAGCAGUGGGGAAUAUUGCACAAUGGGCGCAAGCCUGAUGCAGCCAUGCCGCGUGUGUGAAGAAGGCCUUCGGGUUGUAAAGCACUUUCAGCGGGGAGGAAGGCGGUGAGGUUAAUAACCUCAUCGAUUGACGUUACCCGCAGAAGAAGCACCGGCUAACUCCGUGCCAGCAGCCGCGGUAAUACGGAGGGUGCAAGCGUUAAUCGGAAUUACUGGGCGUAAAGCGCACGCAGGCGGUCUGUCAAGUCGGAUGUGAAAUCCCCGGGCUCAACCUGGGAACUGCAUUCGAAACUGGCAGGCUAGAGUCUUGUAGAGGGGGGUAGAAUUCCAGGUGUAGCGGUGAAAUGCGUAGAGAUCUGGAGGAAUACCGGUGGCGAAGGCGGCCCCCUGGACAAAGACUGACGCUCAGGUGCGAAAGCGUGGGGAGCAAACAGGAUUAGAUACCCUGGUAGUCCACGCUGUAAACGAUGUCGAUUUGGAGGUUGUGCCCUUGAGGCGUGGCUUCCGGAGCUAACGCGUUAAAUCGACCGCCUGGGGAGUACGGCCGCAAGGUUAAAACUCAAAUGAAUUGACGGGGGCCCGCACAAGCGGUGGAGCAUGUGGUUUAAUUCGAUGCAACGCGAAGAACCUUACCUGGUCUUGACAUCCACAGAACUUUCCAGAGAUGGAUUGGUGCCUUCGGGAACUGUGAGACAGGUGCUGCAUGGCUGUCGUCA
rnacentral:rRNA from 1 species